rnacentral:misc_RNA from 1 species
UAUAUUGCUUAAUUAUAUAAAUACUGAUUCUUAUGGAUUGUACCUUGUUUGAUAAUCGAAAAACAAUGGAUAAGAACUUUUUUUAAUUGCUAAAUUAACUUUGUGGAGACAAAAUCGUUAAAACCACAAAAUUCGAAUUUUAAUUUGUUUCCCAGAAGAAAGUUUAUUUAUUUAUUUGCAAAUAUGAUUUAUUUUUCUUGGAUUAUUAGUGUGUUCUUUUGCAUAGUGUAGGGGAAUUUGUUAUUUGGUCUGUUUGAUCAUUGGAAUAUCAAAGUCAGAAUGGGUACUGAUAGCUUUCAAUUAUUAGUGAAAUAAAAGGAUUUUCAGAGCCUUUUGAGGGGAAAAAGGGCCACUUUGGCUUGUUUGGGUUUUCUGGAUUGUUAUUUUUAAGUUUGGGAGCUACCUGGGUACAUUUUGCUCAUCGACAAUGGCUUGUUUUCUUCUUUUUUGCUGCUGCGAUUCAAUCAAUGUGCACCAAUUGGUUGAGAUUUUCCAAGUCAAUGUUUUAGCUAUCGAUUCAUAUCUGUUGUUGUUGUUGAUGUUUUUCUUCUUACUGUUUUGCUGAUGUUUUGAGUUCCUUUCUGUACGAAAUUUAUGGCUUAUUUCUAGAUUGACGAUAAGGAACACAAUAAUGUGUAAGAGAACUGUAAUAUAGUGGAAAUUGAGUAAACUUCAUAAAAUUUUGAGAAUUUCUGUUUUAUUGUUAAGAUUAGGAAUUCUGAAUUAGAUGAACAUAUUAUAAAACCAAACUAAAGGUCUUGUAUUUGAACUGAGCACAGCUAUGCUUUGUAUAUAUAGAUUGGUAAUUGGUUAAGUAACAUUGUGAUUCAUUAAAUAGUAGUAUUUGGAUGGCAAUUUGCUUUCCUUAUGGCUUGCUCAUGUUAUGCAUUGCUUUAUUUAAACAUUUUAAGCUAGCGGGACCUAUCGUGAUGCUGAUUGGAAACCAUCUUCUUACUGCUGUCAGAUUUGGUUUCAAGGAAUUUUUUUUCUAUUUUUUAUGAGAUAGUGAUGUCUCUAAUGGCGUUUUCCUUUAGAUUAGCAGCUUACUGAGAAACUGUGUAUCCAAAGCAGUUUUUUUGGUAGAUGUGGGAAUUUAAUAUCUAGAGAAUUUAAGAGCUAAUUAAAUACAUUGGGUAAACCAUAAAUGAAUAGCUUCACUGUGAUAUUUAUGGUUCUCUUACUUGUUUGACUUCCUUCAUCCCAAGAGUAGUUGUCUGCAUGACCUGCAUCUGAUAUCCUUAGUGUUCCAAAAGAUAGGGAAUGUCACCUUAUAGGAUGAGAGUGGAACAGACAAAUGAAAUGAUUAUAUGUGGACUAUUUGUCUGUGUUGUGUAAAUUGAUUUGUUGAAACAAUAGAAGCAUUAUAAUAUAUCCUCAUUCUUUUUGGAGUGUGUAUGUAUUUUUGUACUUCAAAUAGAAAUUUGGGUCAUGUGCUGGAUAUUGAUGUAAAAGCUUUAUUUUCAGAUAAUUAAUCCUCAAUUAUGUGAUAAUAAAUUGGAUGCGG